UACGUAGGGUGCGAGCGUUGUCCGGAAUUAUUGGGCGUAAAGAGCUCGUAGGCGGUCUGUUGCGUCCGCUGUGAAAACUCGGGGCUUAACCCCGAGCCUGCAGUGGAUACGGGCAGACUAGAGGUAGGUAGGGGAGAAUGGAAUUCCCGGUGUAGCGGUGAAAUGCGUAGAUAUCGAGAGGAACACCUGCGGCGAAGGCGGGUUGCUGGGCUGAUACUGACGCUGAGGCGCGAAAGCCAGGGGAGCGAACGGG
rnacentral:rRNA from 1 species